GACGGAGGGUGCAAGCGUUGUUCGGAAUUACUGGGCGUAAAGGGCGCGUAGGCGGUCUGCUAAGUUCGGUGUGAAAGCCCCUGGCUCAACUGGGGAACUGCGCCGGAAACUGGCAGACUAGAGUACCGGAGAGGAGGGUGGAAUUCCUGGUGUAGCGGUGAAAUGCGUAGAUAUCAGGAGGAACACCGGUGGCGAAGGCGGCCCUCUGGACGGAUACUGACGCUGAGGCGCGAAAGCGUGGGGAUCAAACAGG
rnacentral:rRNA from 1 species